GAUGAACGCUGACAGAAUGCUUAACACAUGCAAGUCAACUGUGGCGGACGGGUGAGUAACGCGUAAAGAACUUGCCUCACAGUUAGGGACAACAUUUGGAAACGAAUGCUAAUACCUGAUACGGUGAGAGAGCUUUGCGUCCCAUUAGCUGGUUGGAGAGGUAUCGGCUCACCAAGGCGAUGAUGGGUAGCUGGCCUGAGAGGGUGAUCGGCCACAAGGGGACUGAGACACGGCCCUUACUCCUACGGGAGGAAGCAGUUGGGAAUAAUGGAGAAAGGACCAAAGUCUGAUCCAGCAAUUCGGUGUGCACGAUGAAUUUUUCGGAAAGUAAAGUGCUUUCAGUUGGGAAGCGGUACCAACAGAAGAAGUGACGGCUAAAUCCGUGCCAGCAGCCGCGGUAAUAC
rnacentral:rRNA from 1 species